ensembl:miRNA
CAUUGCUAUCAGGUUGGCGCAAAAGUAAUUGUAGUUUUGCAAUUAAAAUGGCAAAAACUGCAGUUACUUUUGCACCA